GCCACCUUAGCUCAGUCGGUGGAGCAAGCGUUUCGUAAACGCUAGGUCGUGAGUUCGAGUCUCACAGGUGGCU
rnacentral:tRNA from 1 species